rnacentral:piRNA from 1 species
UGCAGGAGUAAGGUGGUAUCACAUUGUGGUU